ACGCGAAGAACCUUACCUACUCUUGACAUCCAGAGAAUUCGCUAGAGAUAGCUUAGUGCCUUCGGGAACUCUGAGACAGGUGCUGCAUGGCUGUCGUCAGCUCGUGUUGUGAAAUGUUGGGUUAAGUCCCGCAACGAGCGCAACCCUUAUCCUUAUUUGCCAGCACGUAAUGGUGGGAACUCUAGGGAGACUGCCGGUGAUAAACCGGAGGAAGGUGGGGANGACGUCAAGUCAUCAUGGCCCUUACGAGUAGGGCUACACACGUGCUACAAUGGCGAGUACAGAGGGUUGCAAAGCCGCGAGGUGGAGCUAAUCUCACAAAGCUCGUCGUAGUCCGGAUUGGAGUCUGCAACUCGACUCCAUGAAGUCGGAAUCGCUAGUAAUCGUGGAUCAGAAUGCCACGGUGAAUACGUUCCCGGGCCUUGUACACACCGCCCGUCACACCAUGGGAGUGGGCUGCAAAAGAAGUGGGUAGCUUAACCU
rnacentral:rRNA from 1 species